GUGGGGAAUCUUCCGCAAUGGACGAAAGUCUGACGGAGCAACGCCGCGUGAACGAUGACGGCCUUCGGGUUGUAAAGUUCUGUUAUACGGGACGAAUGGUACGACGGCCAAUACCCGUCGUAAGUGACGGUACCGUAAGAGAAAGCCACGGCUAACUACGUGCCAGCAGCCGCGAUAAUACGUAGGUGGCAAGCGUUGUCCGGAAUUAUUGGGCGUAAAGGGCGCGCAGGCGGCGUCGUAAGUCGGUCUUAAAAGUGCGGGGCUUAACCCCGUGAGGGGACCGAAACUGCGAUGCUAGAGUAUCGGAGAGGAAAGCGGAAUUCCUAGUGUAGCGGUGAAAUGCGUAGAUAUUAGGAGGAACACCAGUGGCGAAAGCGGCUUUCUGGACGACAACUGACGCUGAGGCGCGAAAGCCAGGGGAGCAAACGGGAUUAGAUACCCGGGUAGUCC
rnacentral:rRNA from 1 species